ACUUAUAAUCAAGUUAUAAGAGGAAAGUCCGGACUCAUUGAGCAAAGUGCCAGUUAAUAACUGGGCAAAGAUUUUUGACGGAAAGUACACAAGAAAAGAUACAAUCUAGUAUAGAUAAAGGUGAAAAGGUUUGGUAAAAGCAUACCACGUAGUUGGAAACAAACUUCGUUAUGUAAACCCCACUUUGAGUAAAACUAAAUAAGAAUUUAAAGUGCUCUAUAAAAAAAUUCUGGUAGGUUGCAUAAAUAUAUAUAGUAAUAUAUAU
rnacentral:RNase_P_RNA from 1 species